rnacentral:rRNA from 1 species
AGCGAACGCUGGCGGCAGGCUUAACACAUGCAAGUCGAGCGGGCCCUUCGGGGUCAGCGGCAGACGGGUGAGUAACACGUGGGAACGUACCCUUUGGUUCGGAAUAACGCUGGGAAACUAGCGCUAAUACCGGAUACGCCCUUUUGGGGAAAGGCUUGCUGCCGAAGGAUCGGCCCGCGUCUGAUUAGCUAGUUGGUGGGGUAAUGGCCUACCAAGGCGACGAUCAGUAGCUGGUCUGAGAGGAUGAUCAGACACACUGGGACUGAGACCCGGCCCAGACUCCUACGGGAGGCAGCAGUGGGGAAUAUUGGACAAUGGGCGCAAGCCUGAUCCAGCCAUGCCGCGUGAGUGAUGAAGGCCUUAGGGUUGUAAAGCUCUUUUGUCCGGGACGAUAAUGACGGUACCGGAAGAAUAAGCCCCGGCUAACUUCGUG